GCUCCACCCCUUCCCAUUCCGAACAGGGCCGUUAAGCCCGCCAGCGCCGAUGGUACUGCUACACCAAGCGGGAGAGUAGGUGGCCGCCAAAC
rnacentral:rRNA from 1 species